rnacentral:rRNA from 1 species
GCUCAGCCCUAAACCCAGACAGUUCUACAAACCCCUGUCCGCCAAAGAACUACGAGCGAAAAGCUUAAAACUCAAAGGACUUGACGGUGCCCCACACCAACCUAGAGGAGCCUGUCCUAUAAUCGAUAACCCACGACACACCCCACCUGCCCUUGAACCACAGCCUAUAUACCGCCGUCAUCGCCCACCUAACAACAGCACCAAUAGUGAGCACAACCGCCCGCCCGCUAAAACGUCAGGUCAAGGUGUAGCUAACGGGCAGGAAGAGAUGGGCUACACUUUCUUUCACAGAGCCCCCCACCAGCACCAUGAAAACGUGCCCUAAAGAUGGAUUUAGCAGUAAGUUUAGCAAUAAGAGCUCAACUGAAGCUCGCCCUGGGGCGCGU